AUUGCACGCUGGCGGCAGGCCUAACACCUGCAAGUCGAACGAGUGGCGGACUGGUGAGUAAUGUCUGGGAAACUGCCUGAUGGAGGGGGAUAACUACUGGAAACGGUAGCUAAUACCGCAUACCAUCGGAUGUGCCCAGAUGGGAUUAGCUAGUCGGUGGGGUAACGGCUCACCUAGGCGACUAUGCCUAGCUGGUCUGAGAGGAUGACCAGCCACACUGGAACGGAGACACGGUCCAGACUCCUACGGGAGGCAGCAGUGGGGAAUAUUGCACAAUGGGCGAAAGCCUGAUGCAGCCAUGCCGCGUGUAUGAAGAAGGUCUUCGGGUUGUAAAGUACUUUCGGCGGGGAGGCGUUACCCGCCGAGGAAGCACCGGCUAACUCCGUGCCAGCAGCGGCGGUAAUAC
rnacentral:rRNA from 1 species